GUGGCCGUGAGGACACCUUCCCCCUUGGUAGGGGCGGCACCGCCCGCGGCACAAGGGACAGGCCCAGCCCAUACCUGCAUUUCCAGCUUCAGGGAACCUAUCCUCUGCCUGGAUUGUCUGUCUGCUCCUGGGAUGCACUGCUCAUAUGUAAAUGCCCCAAGGGCAGGAGCCCUCUGUCAUAGUAUUAUCUUGUUCACCAGCAUAUCCCCAGAAGCCCACAGUGCCUGCUCCCUUGUUGGUGCUUAGAGUGUCUUUUUGGAAUGAAUGAGUGUCUCCUCAUCUGCUGCCAUGAUUGGUGUCAGUAGCCAUGGUCCAGAUGUCUCAUGGGGUUUUAUGCUCCCUUAGGUUCUUCAGUACCCAUCUCUGGGUUCUUUCACACGAGUCCCUAACAUUUUUAUAUGUUUUGGCUUGUUAGUUGCAUUUUGUUUAACAUUCUGACAGUCCUUAUACUACUGAGGAAGGUGGGUUCUACAUUUCUAAAACAUGUGUCACACAUGAAAUGAUUCAAUGUGUGUGUCUGAGGCAGAAGGGCAGCCUCUCUCUGGGGGCAGGAGGAGAGCUAAGACCUGAGGAGAAGAUGGUCACUAACAUCCAGCUGAGGUCUGGAAAAUAAAGCAGAGGGAUCCCAGCCGUGGUUCCCUGACUGUGCUCAGCAGGAUGAGCUAUGGAGUUUCCUUCUCCAAACACCAGAGAACAGACCGGAUGAAGUCGCAAGACUGUCGAGUGGAGACCAGGUCCCAAGAGUCCACUGUACUUUGGCCAGCAGGAUUUGCUGUGACAAUCAGGUUCCAUCAUGUCAACAAGGAAUGUCAAAUAUGUGUUUUAGUUGAGAACCCAGGCUCAAGACUACAACACAGCCAUGAAAGCUGGAGCAGAACACAGCAGCCGGCCACCGUACAGAGAAAUCUUCAGCAAACCCAGGUUAAAACUUCAACAACAUUGUCUUCUGUUGACUGAAGAGGCAGCUCAAUAACAAUGGUCAUACCAACUUAUAUAUGCCAGCAAGGAGGAGGAGAAAACAUAUGCUACAUGCUAUGGAAAUCUGUUAUGUGUUUCAUUUGGAAUGCAGACAGGAUUGUAAAGGUACUGAAAAACACAUGUUCAGUAUGGAAAAUCAUGUUUGAUGUGUCCUAAUUUGAUUAUCAAGACAAGAAUUCCAAACUCUUAGUGUCUGUUAAAUUUACAUGUGCAGAUCUAAAAUAGUUUUUUUUGUGUGGCAUAUUCUCACACAUAACCACUGAAUUCCUAGGGUACUGUCUCUAGCUCCUUUAUGCUGCUUGCUGCCCAGAAUAUUUCAUUAUUGAAUGAAUUAUUCAAGAUUUUAAAAAACUCACUGUAAUACAGCCAAGUACGUCUAUUUACAAUUGGAUACAUUCUGAUAUGUAUUCUUUAGUUGGGUAUCAUAUACUUAACUAUCAGUACAAUAUUGUUCUUAGGGGACCUCAUUUUUACACACUUUGAGUUGACAGAUUGUAUCUCAGUAUGAGUUCCCAUGUUCCUUCAGCACCUUUGCAAGGUUUCUCCCUAUUGGAAGGGUUCUCACAGUACAACCUGGCUGCAGUCUCAGGGUUUAUCCCCGGUAUGAACCCUCUGAUGGACACUGAGUCGGGACUUCCUGCUGAAGGCCUUCCCACAUUCAGAACACUCAUAUGGUUUCUCUCCUGUGUGGAUUCGCAAAUGUAAUCUAAGAGUUGACCUCUGGCUGAAUGUUUUGCCGCAUUCAGUACAUUCAUAGGGUUUUUCUCCGGUAUGAGUUCUCAUAUGUAUAAUGAGUUGUGAGUUCUGGAUAAAGGAUUUUCCACAUUCACUGCACUCAUAGCGUUUCUCCCCUGUGUGAAUUUUCUGGUGUAUAAUGAGGUUUGAUUUCUUGAAGAAGGUUUUGGCGCAUUCAUUACACUCAUAGGGUCGUUCUCCAGUAUGAAUUCUCUGGUGUGUAGUAAGUUCAAAUUUCUGGGCAAAGGUCUUACCACAUUCACUGCAUUCGUAGGGCUUCUUCUCCAUAUGUGCUCGCUGGUGUACAAUGAGGUUUGACUGGUGGGUGAAAGCUUUUCCACAUUCAAGACAUUCAAAGGGUUUCUCCCCAGUAUGGAUUCUCUGAUGUUUAAUGAGGUUUGCCUUAUGGGAGAAGGUUUUCUUACACACGUUACAUUCAUAAGGUUUUUCUCCAGUAUGUAUUCUCUUAUGACUAAUAAGGAGUGAUUUAAAUGAGAACGCCUUGUCACAAUAAUUACAGAUAAAAGGUUGCACCAAAUUUCUGAUUUUCUGGUGUUUAAAAAUGCCUUCUUUAUGGCUGAAGGCUUUUCCACUUCUAUUAUAUUCAGAGUAUUCCACUCCAGUAUGGGUUUUCUCUUGCUUCAGAUAGAGGAGUGCUUUUCCAAAUCCAUUACAGUCGUCGUCUUUCUUUCUUAUAUAGCUUCUAUCGCUAGUAAGUAAGUCUGAAUUAUAUCUCAAAGUUUUUUCAUAUAAGUCAUAUUUAUAGGGUACUUGUCUUAAAGAAACAAAGUCUGUGCUAAGAUUAAAUGUUUUUCCAAA